UCCAGCUGUUUUGGGACUACACUUCCUAUCAUCUCUUGACCACUGGUCCUGUUAUCUAGGGAGGAUAGGCAUUGUAGUCCCAAAAUAGCUGGA